rnacentral:rRNA from 1 species
UCAAGAAACUUCCACAAUGGGCGAAAGCCUGAUGGAGCGACGUCGCGUGAUGGACGAAGUGCUUCGGCACGUAAACAUCUUUUAUGUGGGAUGAAAUUAUUGACAGUACCACAUGAAUAAGGGGCUCCUAACUCUGUGCCAGCAGGAGCGGUAAUACAGAGGCCCCAAGCGUUAUCCGGAAUCACUGGGCGUAAAGGGUGUCGAGGCGGUUGUAUUAGUCGUUCGUAAAAUCUACGAGCUUAACUUGUAGGCGGCGAACGAAACGGUACGACUUGAGGUUUGGAGAGGUGCGUGGAACUCACGGUGUAGGGGUGAAAUCCGUUGAUAUCGUGGGGAACACCAAAGGCGAAGGCAGCGCACUGGCCAAAAUCUGACGCUCACACACGAAAGCUAGGGUAGCGAAGAGGAUUAGAUACCCUCGUAGUCCCUGAGCGGGCUGGCAAGGCGCAU